rnacentral:rRNA from 1 species
UACGUAGGGGGCUAGCGUUGUCCGGAUUUAUUGGGCGUAAAGAGCGUGUAGGCGGCCAGGUAGGUCUGCUGUGAAAACUCGAGGCUUAACCUCGAGAUGUCGGCGGAAACCAUCUGGCUAGAGUCCGGAAGAGGAGAGUGGAAUUCCUGGUGUAGCGGUGAAAUGCGUAGAGAUGUGGAGGAACACCUGUGGCGAAGGCGGCCAUCUGGACAACUACUGACACUGAGACGCGAAAGCGUGGGUAGCAAACAGG